GAGAAUAGAGCAAAAAUCUUAGUUACUCAUUCUGCACUACACAGAUUUCCGCCCAAUCAGAUGCUCUCUAGAAUAAGAAUGUCCCUCCCCCUGCAACCAACGAGCAACUAGCUAACCAUGGGUUGUGGCUAUGAGGUAUAUACAGAAAAAAAAAAUAGAUAAAUGGAUAAUAAAAUGUAAUAAUCACUUAUAUCUCAACUAAUAUCUCUUUUAAUAGGAAAUACAUUGACAUAGGAAAGAAAACUUGUGCUUGUCAAGUAAUUUUGUUGGUCUUUAUCUUUUUUCAGGAAUUUUAAGGAUGAAGGAAUCAACGCAAUGACAUUUACUGGCAUCCGUACAAAGAUUACACAUGCUUUUCCCAUAAUAGUGAGUAACAGUGAGUGAUGUGCUAGAGAUUUAAGGAGGUUUUAUUCUGGACACUGUAUCAUUACGAAGCAUUCCCCGCAGACAUUAGGGAGGAGAGUGAUUAGAUAGGGGAAAGACUGGUGUGUGAAUCAGCUAACGGUUCCUUUUGGAGGCUCUCUUGGCUCUUUGUUCUCUUAAGCUUUGCUUUAGUGUGUUGGUAUGAAUUGGGGGAUAUGCAUCUGAGGGAUCCCCAGAGCCAAAUCCAAACAUCUGUCUGUUUCACCUCUGCAUCGCUUGAAAUGUGUUGGAAUGUGGAAUCUGAUCAAACUUGCUGUGAGUGUGGAAGAGACAGAAAGUUCAUACAUGGGGAGUCAUGCAUAUCUUCAUCUAGAAGAGAGUUCAGAUCUCUGAGUCAUCAAAACGGAGCGCCAGCAUUGUGAUUGAACUGAACAAAAACAGGAUUCUGGGCGUAUAUCCAAAGGGCGGGGAAAAUACAGAAGACAGGGAGAGCAAGUUCCUUUCAAACAAUAAUCUGCGCGGGAAAGAGAGGACAAGAGACAUGGGGGAUGGGUCUGUGAGUCUUUUAUCUCAAGUUUCCCACAUCCUGCCGCCUAGUUUAAAACCGGCCACCCAAUUUGAAAGAAUGCCUGGUAUGCACCUCAUUUCCAUAGUGCCCGGCAUUGUUCUCUAUUUAAAUAAAGACUGUUGCCCGCCAAUAGGAGAAACA
ensembl:lncRNA